rnacentral:rRNA from 1 species
CGCGGCCUAUCAGCUUGUUGGUGGGGUAAUGGCCUACCAAGGCGACGACGGGUAGCCGGCCUGAGAGGGCGACCGGCCACACUGGGACUGAGACACGGCCCAGACUCCUACGGGAGGCAGCAGUGGGGAGUAUUGCGCAAUGGGCGAAAGCCUGACGCAGCGACGCCGCGUGAGGGACGACGGCCUUCGGGUUGUAAACCUCUUUCAGCAGGGACGAAGCGAAAGUGACUGUACCUGCAGAAGAAGCACCGGCUAACUACGUGCCAGCAGCCGCGGUAAUACGUAGGGUGCAAGCGUUGUCCGGAAUUAUUGGGCGUAAAGAGCUCGUAGGCGGUCAGUCGCGUCGGAUGUGAAAACCCAGGGCUCAACCCUGGGCCUGCAUUCGAUACGGGCAGACUAGAAUUCGGUAGGGGAGACCGGAAUUCCUGGUGUAGCGGUGAAAUGCGCAGAUAUCGGGAGGAACACCAGUGGCGAAGGCGGAACUCUGGGCCGGAACUGACGCUGAGGAGCGAAAGCGUGGGGAGCGAACAGGAUUAGAUACCCUGGUAGUCCACGCCGUAAACGUUGGGCACUAGGUGUGGGACUCUAUCGACGGGUUCCGUGCCGUAGCUAACGCAUUAAGUGCCCCGCCUGGGGA